CAUAGCGUAAUGAAGCGAACCGGGGGAACUGAAACAUCUAAGUACCCCGAGGAAAAGAAAUCAACCGAGAUUCCCCCAGUAGCGGCGAGCGAACGGGGAGCAGCCCAGAGUCUGAAUCAGCAUGUGUGUUAGUGGAAGCGUCUGGAAAGUCGCACGAUACAGGGUGAAAGUCCCGUACACAAAAGUGCAUGUGUUGUGAACUCGAAGAGUAGGGCGGGACACGUGGUAUCCUGUCUGAAUAUGGGGGGACCAUCCUCCAAGGCUAAAUACUCCUGACUGACCGAUAGUGAACCAGUACCGUGAGGGAAAGGCGAAAAGAACCCCGGCGAGGGGAGUGAAAAAGAACCUGAAACCGUGUACGUACAAGCAGUGGGAGCACCCUUUGGGGUGUGACUGCGUACCUUUUGUAUAAUGGGUCAGCGACUUAUAUUCUGUAGCAAGGUUAACCGAAUAGGGGAGCCGAAGGGAAACCGAGUCUUAACUGGGCGUUAAGUUGCAGGGUAUAGACCCGAAACCCGGUGAUCUAGCCAUGGGCAGGUUGAAGGUUGGGUAACACUAACUGGAGGACCGAACCGACUAAUGUUGAAAAAUUAGCGGAUGACUUGUGGCUGGGGGUGAAAGGCCAAUCAAACCGGGAGAUAGCUGGUUCUCCCCGAAAGCUAUUUAGGUAGCGCCUCGUGAACUCAUCUUCGGGGGUAGAGCACUGUUUCGGCUAGGGGGUCAUCCCGACUUACCAACCCGAUGCAAACUGCGAAUACCGAAGAAUGUUAUCACGGGAGACACACGGCGGGUGCUAACGUCCGUCGUGAAGAGGGAAACAACCCAGACCGCCAGCUAAGGUCCCAAAGUCAUGGUUAAGUGGGAAACGAUGUGGGAAGGCACAGACAGCCAGGAUGUUGGCUUAGAAGCAGCCAUCAUUUAAAGAAAGCGUAAUAGCUCACUGGUCGAGUCGGCCUGCGCGGAAGAUGUAACGGGGCUAAACCAUGCACCGAAGCUGCGGCAGCGACACUAUGUGUUGUUGGGUAGGGGAGCGU
rnacentral:rRNA from 1 species